GAUUGAGAUAGAAUAAAAAUAUGUUUGGAACAGAAAUUUUUGAAGAAUACUUUUCCCACUGAGUAAAAGAAUGUAGACAGUUUCUAUGGCAGCAUUUAGAUUUUAAGACAGGUCUCUAUAAUCCCAGUGAAAAGGAUAUAACUUGUACUGGAAGCUAAGAGCUCAUCUGAUCUUCAACAUGGCUUUGCUAAAAUCAUAACGUGCUGAGGAAGGAUUCUCAGCAAAGGCAAAGGAGCACUCUGGGCUCGCAGAGAGGACCUGGUGUGCAAAGGAGACUGCGGCUGCUCCCCUGCUAAGACCUACUGACAACCAUGUGUCUGGUGGGAUGUGAAGUUCCAUGCCAUCUACUCUAAUAACAGAACCUCAACUCCUGCCUUGAUGCCUUGCAGCGCUGUCACCACCGUUUGUGUCUCCAAAGUCACAUCCGUGCCCUCACUCAGUGAGCCUCUUCUGAAACCGAUUCUGAAAGUGAAUUUAGAAGACCUUAGAAAGAAUACUGGGAAACCUUGGAGAGUCCUUCGAAGAACUC